UACGUAGGGUGCAAGCGUUAAUCGGAAUUACUGGGCGUAAAGCGUGCGCAGGCGGUUGUGCAAGACAGAUGUGAAAUCCCCGGGCUCAACCUGGGAAUUGCAUUUGUGACUGCACGGCUAGAGUGUGUCAGAGGGGGGUAGAAUUCCACGUGUAGCAGUGAAAUGCGUAGAGAUCCGGAGGAACACCAGUGGCGAAGGCGACACGCUGGGCCGUACCUGACACUGAUGCGCGACAGCCAUGGGGAGCAACAGG
rnacentral:rRNA from 1 species